rnacentral:rRNA from 1 species
AUUGAACGCUGGCGGCAGGCUUAACACAUGCAAGUCGAGCGGGGGAAGGUAGCUUGCUACCGAACCUAGCGGCGGACGGGUGAGUAAUGCUUAGGAAUCUGCCUAGUAGUGGGGGACAACAUCUCGAAAGGGAUGCUAAUACCGCAUACGUCCUACGGGAGAAAGCAGGGGAUCUUCGGACCUUGCGCUAAUAGAUGAGCCUAAGUCGGAUUAGCUAGUUGGUGGGGUAAAGGCCUACCAAGGCGACGAUCUGUAGCGGGUCUGAGAGGAUGUUCCGCCACACUCGGACUGAGACACCGCCCAGACUCCUACGGGAGGCAGCAGUGUGGAAUAUUGGACAAUGGGGGGAACCCUGUUCCAGCCAUGCCGCGUGUGUGAAGAAGGCCUUAUGGUUGUAAAGCACUUUAAGCGAGGAGGAGGCUACUUUAGUUAAUACCUAGAGAUAGUGGACGUUACUCGCAGAAUAAGCACCGGCUAACUCUGUGCCAGCCGCCGCGGUAA